rnacentral:rRNA from 1 species
CCUACGGGCGGCAGCAGUGAGGAAUAUUGGUCAAUGGGCGCGAGCCUGAACCAGCCAAGUCGCGUGAAGGAUGAAUGCACUGCGGGUUGUAAACCUCUUUUAUAAAGGAAUAAAGUCAGGCACGUGUGCCCGUUUGUAUGUACUUUAUGAAUAAGGAUCGGCUAACUCCGUGCCAGCAGCCGCGGUAAUACGGAGGAUCCGAGCGUUAUCCGGAUUUAUUGGGUUUAAAGGGAGCGUAGAGUGGUUGUUAAGUCAGUUGUGAAAGGUUGCGGCUCAACCGUAAAAGUGCAAUUGAUACGGGCAGGCUUGAGUACAGUUGAGGUAGGCGGAAUUCGUGGUGUAGCGGUGAAAUGCUUAGGUAUCACGAAGAACUCCGAUUGCGAAGGCAGCUUAC